rnacentral:lncRNA from 1 species
CCAGAUAGCUUUCCUGAUAAAAUGAAAGAACUUGGAAGGAUGAUUGAGGUCCUGACACAACUUCAAAGCCUCAUCGAUCGCGUCAUGGAUUGCCGGCCAACAGGGGCAGCUGCUAAAAACUUCGUUGUUCAAUCCACCAUGAAAAACAUAAUCCGUGAUAGCUUUAUGUGUUACACUACUUUUCGAAAACAGAUUGUUGUGGUCUUAGACAAUCUCAUUCAGUUACCAUAUAGAAGUUGUGCUGAGGCAUUUGACAUCUACAAAAAAGCAGCUAUUCAAGCAGAUGAUCUCAGUGAAUUCUAUAAUUGGAGCAAAUCUAUGGGAUUUUGCGGAGCAUACGAGUUUCCCUUUGUUGAUCGAAUUCCACUGAUUCAGAUUCGAGCUCUAGGAGCUUUCCUUAACGGCAUGUGGCAGUUAACAGAGUCGUCGUCUUCAACAAUGUCUCAAUUAACCUCAAACGUCCAGUCUCCCUCGAGUAUAUCUGACGAUGAAGCUGAUGAACAUCCAAUCAAGAUUGAUGAGAUCUCUGCAACGACAAAUAAGCAAGUGAAACUCGAAGAAGAAACAAUGAAGAAGGCAUUGCAGAAAGAUAAGGAGAUAGGACCAUUGAUACAAUUAGAUGUUGAGAACAAUGUCAGUUGGGAAGCCCUUUUGGAAGCUUCACUUCCUUCCUCAUGC